rnacentral:misc_RNA from 1 species
GGGCAGUGGAAUUGGGUGGAGAAGAAAGAUGGAGGAGGUGUUGCAGGAGAGAGUCAAAAUGGAAAGAGAGAUUGGUAGAAGUCGGAGGAGGUGUAGGUAGUUUUGCUGAGCUGAAUUUCAGAGGUGGGUUUGGUUGUGGUGGUCUGUUCUUUGGGAUAGAAUACACGGGUUUGUUCGGGAAGAGAGUACCUUCCAUCGCAUGAACCC